UGUUGUAGCUGACCUGAAAAAGGAUCAUUGACCUGGCUGUCCUUUAUUUGACCGUACUUAGACUGCUUGAAUAACCUUGCUAAUUCUAGAGCUAAUACAUGCGAAAAGUCCCGACUUCCGGAAGGGAUGUAUUUAUUAGAUUCAAAACCAAUGCGGGUUCCGCCCGGUCCUUUGGUGAUUCAUAGUAACUGAUCGAAUCGCACGGCCUUGCGCUGGCGAUGUUUCAUUCAAAUUUCUGCCCUAUCAACUGUCGAUGGUAAGGUAUUGGCUUACCAUGGUUACAACGGGUGACGGAGAAUUAGGGUUCGAUUCCGGAGAGGGAGCCUGAGAAACGGCUACCACAUCCAAGGAAGGCAGCAGGCGCGCAAAUUACCCAAUCCUGACUCAGGGAGGUAUUGACAAGAAAUAACAAUACAGGGCUUUUCAAAGUCUUGUAUUUGGAAUGAGUACAACUUAAAUCCUUUAACGAGGAUCCAUUGGAGGGCAAGUCUGGUGCCAUCAGCCGCGGUAAUUCCAGCUCCAAUAGCGUAUAUUAAAGUUGUUGCAGUUAAAAAGCUCGUAUUUGGAUUUCGGGGUGGCACGGCCGGUCCGCCGCAAGGUGUGUCACUGGCCGGGCCGCCCUUCUUCGAAAGACUGCGUGUGCUCUUAACUGAUUGUGCGUAGGACUUGUGACGUUUUACUUUGAAAAAAAUUAAGUGUUCAAAGCAGGCCAGCGCUUGAAUACAUAAGCAUGGAAUAAUGGAAUAAGGAUUUUGGUUCUUUUUGUUNGUUUCUGGAACCGAAGUAAUGAUUAAGAGGGACAGUUGGUUGCUUUCUUAUUU
rnacentral:rRNA from 1 species